GAAAGGUAUAUCUAACCUGGAACCUUGGGAAGAAGGCUGAAUCUUAUGGCUGCUGGACAGAGAUGUUCGCCUACGCAAGAAUCUGCCUUCUUCCCAAAGUCUCGGUUAGGUGUACUUUUC